CUCUACAACCCCAGUGCCCAUGCAAGCUAGCUUUGCGCUAGCUUAAUUUAGCUCUGGGGGAACAACGUAAUUCCAACGUCACCACCUAUGCCACACGAUUGCAAUUUGGAGGCAUAGUGGACGGUUUUGUUACCAUUUUGUUAAGUUCACGGGAUAAGGAUCACACCACGUGAUAAGGAGGGAAAUCUUCCUCCACUGCCAAAGUCUUUCCCUUACCGCGGUUUCACACCUUAACUCUCAUAGACAUCACACCUAAGACUAAGGUUCCCUUUAGCAUCACAACUAGAGUUACAACUGUCAGACAUCGCAUAGAAGCAUAGUUGUUGAAAUUUUUAUUGAAUAAAAACUAAAUAAUAUGCAUUGCAGGAAUUCAUUUUCAUAGGUUGAACUUUAUAAUCCUCCAAGGAUCUGAAUAUCUCGAAGAAAACUAAAAG
rnacentral:misc_RNA from 1 species